CUCUGGCUGAAAACUUUCUUGCAUGUGACUGAUGUGAGUUAUUUACGUUUAGAUAAUACCAACUAGUAUUGGUAGGCGGAAGAUUGAAUUCGCAAACAUUUACGUGGGAGUCAAGAUUGAUGCAAAAUGGGUGGUAGAAAAACUGUUUAGCAAACGGAGGUUUCAUGGAAAUAGGUUUACCAACAAAAAGAGGAAGCAGCUCGAAAUGAAUAUGAGCUCUCAGCUGCAGCAUCGAAACUUGGGACAGGAGAAUUGUACAGGCCAGGCAGAUUCGAAGAGGAGAGGAGAGAAGAGAAAGCUGCAGGAUGAAGAGCAUCAGUAUGGAGGAUUUUAAAAUUUAAGAACUUUUCGCAAUGUGUUGCUGUCUCCCUGGAACUAAAAAAUACAAUAUCCUGCUAUUGCAUUCUGAUUUUUAGAUGAUUGAUUGUAGAAAAAAAAGUUAAUUUUGGAUGUGCAAAAUUAAAAACUCCGUUAAUGUCACAAUUUGUACCAUUAAUUUAAUAAUUGUAGUUCAGUGGUCUUAUAACCUUCUCAGGGCACUACAAAAAAAAAUUUCAGUUUAAUUGCAUGAAUAGAAUUUGAGUUAUGGCUUUUUAUAAAAAAAGACAAUACAAAAAUUGAAAAUUCAAAUUUCUGGAAAAAUAUUAAUCCUGCAUAUUUUACUAUAUAUUUCUGUUGAAACACAGCUCUUUUGCUUUACAUGUGCAGAAUUUUAGAUUUGUAGAUUAAUAAAUAUGGAUGUAAUGAUUUUAUAAAUAAAUGUUUACGUUUUCCGUCACAUCCCCCCCUUAAGGUCAAAAACCUACUGAACACAACACUGUUUUUACCUAAAUUCUCCUUGAUAUUCUCCCAAUUGUGAGCAAAGUUGUUCCUCUGCCAGGGUCUGAAGGGCUUGUGAGAGUGUCUUCGAUGCUAUUUAAGAUGAAUGAAAUUCCAUUAUAAUUGUUGACAUUAGAUAUGUUGUCUUUUUUGUGAAGAUGGUAAAUUAUGGCCGACUCAACAGUUUUUCUCCACCCAAAAUCUCAUAGAUAAUAUCUAUUGCCUUAUCAGUAGCUUUGCCACCUGCAUGAGGUUAGAACUCAACAGUUAUUGUUUCUUUCCCCGGUUCUUUCUAGUUCUUUAGGGACUGAAUAAUCUGCUUAAUUUUCUCUCACAGAAAACUUAUUUGUCUUUGCCAGUUUGAAUCCUCUUAACAGCUACAGUGUUAAUUCUUCUUAAGCGUAACAGAUUGGAAGCUAACAAUAGUCAACCACUUCUCAUUACUACUUUAUGGAGAACAGCUGAACCUGCAGUUUUAUGAACUU